rnacentral:rRNA from 1 species
AGUGAACGCUGGCGGUAGGCCUAACACAUGCAAGUCGAACGGCAGCACAGUAAGAGCUUGCUCUUACGGGUGGCGAGUGGCGGACGGGUGAGGAAUACAUCGGAAUCUACUUUUUCGUGGGGGAUAACGUAGGGAAACUUACGCUAAUACCGCAUACGACCUACGGGUGAAAGCAGGGGAUCUUCGGACCUUGCGCGAUUGAAUGAGCCGAUGUCGGAUUAGCUAGUUGGCGGGGUAAAAGCCCACCAAGGCGACGAUCCGUAGCUGGUCUGAGAGGAUGAUCAGCCACACUGGAACUGAGACACGGUCCAGACUCCUACGGGAGGCAGCAGUGGGGAAUGUUGGACAAUGGGCGCAAGCCUGAUCCAGCCAUACCGCGUGGGUGAAGAAGGCCUUCGGGUUGUAAAGCCCUUUUGUUGGGAAAGAAAAGCAGCAGGUUAAUACCCCGCUGUUCUGACGGUACCCAAAGAAUAAGCACCGGCUAACUUCGUG